GGGAGCAGAGAGUGGUUUAUUGGUUUUUGCCUUUGAUUGGUUUUACUUAAGCUAGUAUUAUUAUUGUUUGUAGUAGCACUUCCAGGCCCUAGACACUGUUUGUGCUGGAGACUGCGUUAACAAGUGUGUGACAAACCAGAGUCCUUGACCUGAGGAGUCUCACUGCUCUGCCUUGUGGAAGGAUUUCUGAUGGAAGGCAACAGAAUUUCAGUCCAUGUAUAGAAGUAUGUUUUUGUGGACAGUUUAGAAUUGGUGGCAGAAUGAAGGUACUUAUUCUUCCUGGAAAAUUGCACCUAUCCUUGGCAUGGCUAAACACAGGAUGGAAUCCUGAUGCAAAUUAUUCCCGCCAGUACAUCUCCGAGUGCUGGGUGCUGAAUGAGGAAUGGGAAAGGCUUCUUUACUGGGUAAAGUGAAAUGCCCUGCCUUAGUCACCCAAAAGAUUCAGUUUGGGGUAGCAGAGAGGAGGGGGAGCAAGGACCUCACACAAGAACUGGCCUAAACUCUGAGGAGUGCAGUGUCCCAUCCUCUCUUUCAGCUGUAAAGCCAAUGGGAACACGAUGCAGACAAAGUUGAACAUGACUUGACUGUGCUGGGGUUCCUGAAGAUAACAACCUGUGUCCAGUGUGGUGGGACUGAGGCCUUCAUCCAGUUUGGUCCCCUCUAAACCCCCCCAUUUCAGCGUGCAGGGAGCAUGCCCUGCAGUACAGGCUCUCUGUGGUAUUCCCUGAAAUCCCUUCAGCAGUGCAUUUGCUGGAAAAUGCCAAGGCUUGGAAUUUAUCAGCCUGAGUAAGUUUUCUCCUGCAAUGCUGUUUUCUUCCUGAGAUCAUACCCCUGAAUAAAAUUCCUACCUAGCCUUGACUGGGCGUUUUG
rnacentral:lncRNA from 1 species